rnacentral:rRNA from 1 species
CGCCGCCACCACGGCGCUGAAAACCACGCAGAAGACGCUGCAGAUGAGCGGCACGCUGCGGGAGGAGAACCUGCGCUCCGUGACUGACCGGCGCGUGCGCCUGGACGGCGGCCUGCGCUGCCAUCACGACAAGUACGCCAACAACAGCAUCAAGAGCUCCAAGUACAAC